CCUACGGGUGGCAGCAGUGAGGAAUAUUGGUCAAUGGUCGGGAGACUGAACCAGCCAAGCCGCGUGAGGGAUGAAGGUACAGAGUAUCGUAAACCUCUUUUGUCAGGGAACAAAGGCGGGGACGCGUCCCCGGAUGAGUGUACCUGAAGAAAAAGCAUCGGCUAACUCCGUGCCAGCAGCCGCGGUAAUACGGAGGAUGCGAGCGUUAUCCGGUUUUAUUGGGUUUAAAGGGUGCGCAGGCGGUCUGUUAAGUCAGCGGUAAAAGCCCGGGGCCAAACCCCGGCCCGCCGUUGAAACUGGCAGUCUCGAGUUGGAGAGAAGUAUGCGGAAUGCGCGGUGUAGCGGUGAAAUGCAUAGAUAUCGCGCAGAACUCCGAUUGCGAAGGCAGCAUGCCGGCUCCACACUGACGCUGAGGCACGAAAGCGUGGGUAUCGAACAGGAUUAGAUACCCUUGUAGUC
rnacentral:rRNA from 1 species